AAAACACUGAGCUGCCCUCUGUAGGAAGGAUAGCAGCAAUAUUAGGGAAAUGAGUGUUGAGCUUUCAAUACAUGGAAAAACCCCUGAGAGUAUUUGCCCUUUUAAAAUAUCAUAAGGGUAUCCAGACUUCCUCAUACUGAAGAUCUGUAAUAACUCAAAACAAUAGAACUCAGAGGUAGGCCAGGUAAAGAUAGGGAGAAAGCAAAAUGGCCCACAAAUUCAAACAAGUGAAUCUGCUUUUUGAGGGUGGUGUCAUCCUGAGGAUAGGAAGUAGAUGAGUUGGUGGUGGUAUGGGAAGUAUAAACAUGAAACACUUGUAAGAAAGACACACAUGUCAUGAGGAAAGUUAUGGUUACAUAAAAGACAAGGUCUAAACCUUGCAUUGAUUGCUGUUGGUAUCUAGAGAGGAGGUGGGGUUUUACAGACUGCCACUUUAGUGGGAAAAGAUGAGUACUGCCACAGGGGAACUGCCCUUUGAGGAUUAUGCUGGUAAUGUUACCUACUUGUGCUGUGCAGAGGAGGUCAGUAGUGGGAGAAAGGAGCACACGUGUUUCAACUUGUGCAUUGAGCAGCCACUUCAGAAUGAAAGGUGCUGUAUCACAGUAAUGAUGUAUUUGCUGUAUUCAGCAAAUUGGUACUUUUCCACAGAGGAAUGAGGGAUCAUAAACUGGUCACCAAGUAAAGUAGAUUUUAAAGGCAAAUCAUGUGUAUAAGAUGCAGUCUGCCUUAAAGUGUGGCUCUCAAACUAAACUUGUCAGGAACGCUUUAUAAAGGAAGAAACACGAGAACGGCAUGAUACCUAGAAAUUGAUAGAGCUGUAGUUACUGAAGCAUUUCAAAAUGCACCAAAAUACAGAAAACCUACCCUGUAGCCUGCAGCCAGAAAUGACAGCAUUGGAUGGCAGCAGCUUUCUUCCUUCAGAGAGUUGGAGGAAUUCCUACAGCUCAGGGGAUGUGCCUGUUUUCAACAAAAAGCCCAAUUUUCUAUCUAAGCAGUAUCAUGAAAUUUGAAAUGCUAUCAGUAGCAGUGCCUAAAGCAUUAGGAAUGUCAAAAGUAAGGAUCUGACUGAACUCCAGAAGUGUAUUUGCUCACUGAGCAUCUCCUAUGCUUUGGUUAUUAAGCAGUAACCAGGUACUUUGGCUGAAGGCUGCUCCUUUUCAGCCUGCAACUGUGAAUCUAUUGAAUGUCUCAGAAUCUGCAGAAAGUUACUACAGAACAGCUUUCCCUUUGCUGCUUUUAACAUGAUUUAUUAUUUCUGUUAAUAAAUAAGGGUAGGUAUUUCCAUGCUUUGUACAUGCUUUUUCUUGAAUAAAGAUGAGGAUGUGGAAAAAUGUAGCUGUUAUGCAUCAGGUCUGCGGUUGCACCACAGUGUUCCUGGACAGCUUGUACUUUGCAGGAGCCUCAGAGAUGAGGUGGCCUUGUGCUGACUGGUACAGCACCCACUGGACACGUGAUAUUCCAGGUUGUGGUUGAGUGACUCCUGGACAACGUCAACUCUCAGUGGUUACACACUUCAGAAGUGGCAAGGGACCAGCCUCCAUUUUUUGCCCACUGCAAAUCUGGGUGCUGUUAGCAUCUAGUGAAGCUGCUUGGCUGGUGAGUCAAAAAGUUGCCAGUAUUAGCUCGGUUAGUCUGGAAGAAAAAUAUCCAAGACUGCAGAAACGUGUAAUACAGCAGUGAUACUUGGUAAGUACUUAGAUACUCGGAAGGGUCUGUUACAGGGUCAGAAGAGCGUGUGGCAUGUGUUUUGGAUGUAAAGGUAUCAUCUUUUUAUCCUUUGGACUGAUUUCCAAUAUGAAAAAUGGAAGCUUUUGAGGAGAUACUAUGAUUGGUGGGUGGCACUUCAGGUACCCAAAGUACUUCACAUCAAUCUUACUCUGUAUGUUCUAAAACAUUCCCUGAGGAUGGCUUCUGAUCCAGGAUUGAAAGAUAAAAGGGUGCCAGAGAAUAAUGUUGCUGUGUGUGUCAGAUGGUGAAGGCCUGUCUCCAGGAGCAGUGUUUAAUCAUGAAAAACAUGCACCUCUCACUUGGCAUAGAAAAGGGUAGGUGUGACCAGUGAUAAGGCAUACUGGGUAUUUAGCCGCAAGCCUUUCUGUAUGAAUGCUGUGCUUUAGGGCUGCAGAAGAUGGGUAAUAAGAAUGAAUAUUAGUACUGUAGAAAAUCUGAUGGUUACAAAAAUGAUCAAAUGCUCAAAAUUAGUAUUAAACCUUUGAUUUAGGAUUGUUUACUAAACAGCAUGAAAGCAUUUUUAUUUUUUGUGCUUUAAAUUUCUGGUGAAAUCUUGCACUCUCCAUCAUUAGUGUUGGACUUAGAAAUAUCACAUGGCUGUAGGGCUGUGGUCCAAGAAAUGAGUGGUUAGACAAACUUUGUUCUGGAAUAUUGCCAUGUAUCCAUCUUAACUGGGCAAAAAAAGCAGAGCCUUUUUUGAGUUAAAUGAGUGGUGGGUUUACGAGCAAGAGGAUUACCUUUCAACCACCACAAAGGUAUAAGAAUAGCUCUGCAUAGGUGCUUUGCUACCAUUUAAGUUAUGUGGUCCUUGUUGAGGUGGGAGGUUUUGUCUGUUGCUGAAGAACUCGUCUUGCCAGUGGAGACUGUAGAUCUAUAAAUGAGUUGCAAGUGAGUGAAACUAAGCUACCAGUGGUUUCCUUGCCACAGCACCAUUGCAUUUGCUGGUGUGAAGCCUGCUUGAAGUAACAGAUCCUAGUGCACGGAAAUUCGAGCAUAAGCUGUACUGUCAGGCUACCAUCAUGCAGAGAAGCGUGCUGCCUCAGCUGCAGCUGUAUUGUGUGCCAGCUUUGGGGUUGCUGCCUUCUGGUGCGGGCAAGCUCUUAAUUGUAUAAACUUGCCAUAUAAAGCUUGGGUAUGUGUUUUGCCAAUUAAAAAACAUUAAAAUUAAAUAAAAGUUGGUAGAGAAAGGAACUCCUUAAGACAGCCAGACAUGGGCAUAGCAAAGUGUUAAGGCUUUGCCCAAGGAAAGGUCUUCUCUAUAUUGAAGAGUAUUUAAUCCUGAUUUUUGGUCAGUAGUUUUUCUGUAUACCCUCUCCCACAGUUCAGAGGACAAACUUGAGUUAUGAUCUGUGGUAUGAAUGAGCUUGAGAUAAAUGGUAAUUUCAGGUGAGUGGAGUACAGAUGGCCUUCAUUUGCUAUGUGAAUGUAUGUGUCCUAGGAUUUGUAUUCCCUGUACUUUUUUGUUACUAGAACUGGUAUUACAAGCAUUUUUGCUUGUCUGCCCUUGUCUGUUUCCCUUGGAAGAUAUAAACUGGAAAAGUAAAAUUAAAAUGAUGAAUUCCAUUUUCUUUGAAAUGUCAUGUGGCUUUUUAGUUGAUAGUCCAGUUGAGCUAUCAGGGCUAUGAAGACAGUACUUCUCUGCCAUUGUCUCAAACUUCCUGCAGGCUCCAGAGAACAAAGUGGUGUUUGAUGCUCAGAAGAAUGGCUGUAUUGAGUGGGACAAAGUCUGCCUUGCUCAGUAUUCUGUCUGAGGAUGACCAGUAUAAGAAACAGGAGAAGUAUAGAGAGCCUUUCCAGUAGUUUGCUUGGGAACUUCCUGAUGAGAUUUUCACUUGGGUUUGAAUACUGCUUGGCAAUUAUGACCUAUCUCCAUAUAAAAAGAUGUAAAACAUGAAUGUUACAUGGGCUGUAAAAUAUAUGAAGUAAUGUGUAUGUUAGUAGCUGCAUAGAUGGGGGGAUUGCGAGGGGGCUGAAUUAAAUUAUUCUGUUUGAAGCUGAUGUCUCUUUCAGUUCUCACAUUAAUGAAAACAGUAAGUGGAGCCCAGUUAAGGCCCUGGUGCUAGGCCAGCUUUACUGUUUAAUUGAGCUAUGUUGGAGGUGAAAAUUUAAAGUACUGUUCUGUGCUUUAAUCUUCAGUACCCCUGAGCUACACUUCUUCAUAUUUCAGGCUUCUCACCAGACCAAUAACCACUAUUUUUUUCCCUGUGACUGGAGUUCUCAGUAACUGAGAAUGAUGGUACUAGUUUUAUGGUUGCAGGUGAAGAAUGACUAAAACCUGUCCUAAAAUAAAGUUAAGUCAUUAUUUUAUAUGUGUAAAAAAAGCUAGAAAGAUGAAUGGACUGAAAUAAAUAUUUAGACCUUAUUUUGAAAUUGGUAAGUUGAUUGAAAAGUAAAGGUUGUACUUUUAAAUAACCUUAACAUCACUAAAGAGGAAGAAUAUAUAGCUACUAUUAAAUCGGUGUACUUCAUCUUACCUUGACAAAACAGGCAAUAAUUUGCCCUGGCCUUAGCUGUUGUUUUUUCAGUCAGAAUGAGGGAUGUUGUGGAUACUACAGUCUUGAAAGAAACAUCUGAGUCUUUAAGUGUGUUAGCUCUGUCUAGUAGUUAGGUCGUUUUCUGCAGCAGAAAAUAAAUUGCUUCAUCUUGUUUAAAUUUCUUGCACUCCAUCAGAAAAGUGCAAUAUUGAAUCAGUGGCAGUUCUUAAUGUCAUUUGGACUUCCAAGUUAAACAGUUCAGAGUAUGAUUAUUCAUUCCCCAGUGUAUCUUAGAAUAAACAUUUUCUGAAAAUACGUCGUUUCUGGUUCUGAAAAUUUUAAGCUACCUACUUGCUAUGGCAAACAAAAGAGUUUGUGGGAAUUAAUUCUGCCCCCUCUUCCUGUUUUACAGAUUAUAAACCAUAUAACAGCAGGAACAUCAGUUGCCUUCAGAACAUCUUAAAAAAGUAAUUUAUAAUAAACAUAGUGCUGAGAAUGUUCCCCCCAAAAAACCUUCAUGGGGAGGAUCUGGGUUUUCGAAAACAUGUAUUUGAAGUACUACAGUUGCCAGAAUUGACCUGUCUCCAUUUUACAUGUAUUUGAACUUGAACAAGUUACCUUGCUAGUGAAAAGUGUUCAGCAUAGUUUCUGCUAAUUUGACAUACAGGCUGUAAGGCUGCUGAAAACCCUUUUUUCCAUGUACAGGGAUCUUUAUAUGAUGACCAUUUGGCAGGGUUGACUGCAAGGUGUUUUGCUGUGGUUUUGCCUUUUAUUAACUGCCAUGACGAGAAGACUGGAAAUAGUAUGAAUACUUUCUCCUGGGAGUUUCUUGUAGUUUAUAGGGUUUUUUAAUUGGAAAAGUAAGAGUGAACAAUUUCAGCAACUGCUAGAUAAUUUUCUAUAAAAAUGCAACCCCAUUUUGAGCCAUGCUGAAUAUGGGAAAGUCCAAAGCUUUUAGCUUACAAAUAUGAAGGAAGAUGGUUUGCUGGGAGUUCCACAGAUUUAGAGAGACCUCACUUCUUGUUGUGAGGAUGCAAAAUUACCAAGAACUGAAGACCACUUGUGCUACUGCAUGGUAUGGUGGCAGGAGGAGAAACAUGCCUUUAGAUGUUCUCCCCCUAGUUCUGAAGAUAUGCUUCUUAAAGAACACAUAAACCUCUUAGAAUUGUCUGAAUGUGGCAGCCUGUGGUCCUCUUGACUUAACAUAGGAAAUAGUGUUGUAAGGAAGGAGAUGUCUCUGCAUAUAAGACUGUCAAUCAGAAUAUCUGGAUAUUAGACUUUAAGUGUGAAUGGAGUCUUAGAAUCUUGGAGUAAAAAGUCAGAUACUUAUUAAAUGAAAGAUCUUCCACCAAAAGAAUAAAAAAUAGAAGUUAUUGUGAAGGAACAUUUUUUUUUUUUUGUGCUGAAAAUCCACACUGCUUUCUGCUGUGAUACCAGCCUAACUUCCUCCCCUCAGAAAUUAAAUGCCUUGUAGUGCUCCCAGUCUCUGGCCUGAGGGCAGCAGUUCUGAGGCUGUGACAUGCUGUUGGUGAUGUCAUACUUUGGCCCUUUUGAUUUCAAGUUUUAAGUUAUUCUACCGUGAUUAUGUGGAGGGUCUUGUGAGCAAUAUGUCAUUAUUGGGCUGUGGUGUAAGGACCAUUGUCUUCCUGAUGGCUGUUACAUGACUGCACUAACUUUCAAGUGAAAAAGUCACUUAGCUUUUGUUGGGGUUGAAAAUUGACAGUGACCAAGAUGGAUGCCUAUAAUGAGACUUACUUACAUGUAAGAAAAGAAAACACUCUACCAAGAAGAGAUAUUCUGCUAUUUUGAGGUAGUGCUUCUGGAGGUGUUUUGCCUCUUGGUCUUAUUCUGCUUCUUUUCCCCAAAGGCUAAUUUGGGUUUUCUAGUUGUGAUUUUUUUUCAUUGAAGUGUGACCAGGAAAUCUUAAUGUAUUGUUGAUUCUCAACUAGGAAAACACUUUUAAAUUCACAAAAAGGAGUAUGCAUAUUUGGUGUUCCCUGAAGUUAUGAUUUCUAGAAAGAGCAGGUCAUCUGUGGAAGCUUGUGCUGUCUCCCAGUGUGAGCUUUCUUACUCUGGACCAAGGUUGGGACCUUAGUAACCAAAUCUAUUGUGUAGUCCUCAGCUCUGUCCUGAUCUCAAAGAAUCCUUUUCCUCCUCUGUACUAGUCCUGUAUUGCUUUUCCCAGAAUAGAUAUGCAUGAAACAUCCCAAGAACCAAGGCAGAAAUAAAAAAUUACAAAAGGCUACUACAUAUCCGUUCAGUAUUGAUCUCAGAGGGGCUGUAAGAGCAAUAGUAUAUGAAACUUUAGUGAAGGGAAAUAAAAAAAAGCCUCUGGGAAUUUUUUUCUCUGGGACUCAAUGAUAUCAUAAUGAAAUUCAAGCACCUGUUGAGUUGUAAAAACAAGACCAGUUCCUGCAAUUGAUGUGAUUUGACAGCUAUGAUUUGUUCUUCACGAAUUGGGGACAGAGCCUGCAAAUAAGUCACUGAUUAGCUAAAUUGCAAAUCUAUCAGGAAUGGCAGCUAGCUGCAUUUCAGGCUGGGUCAGAUGCGGAAGGGAAAUAUUUCCCUCCACACUUCUGUGUUGAUACUGGUUUCUCUGUGCUGGAAAGUUCCAGGCCAAUAAAGUAGGAGUUGGAUGGUAAUCAUUAAGUGAAGAGAUUUCCUACUCAGAAUUAAUAGAACAGGACUGAAAAUCAACUGUACUUCUUUGUAUACUCAGAAGAAUCGUAACCAUUUUUCUUGUUCAGAAAGAUCUCGGCUCUGUUGAACUUGCUUUUUUCUCAUGGAUUAUUUUGAAGGCUGGCUAGGAAACAGGCAUGUCAGAUUCAUUAAAAAGGCAGAAAUGAACUUCUGUGAAGAUUAUAGCCUUUUCUAUAGCAGCAGCAAAAAGAAGUAUCAGCAGAAUUGGCAUCUGGCCCUGGGAGCAAAUAUUCUGAGCUUCUGCUAGAGCUUCCAAUAGAAGCAUGAUGAAGAGGUUUUAAAAAAAAAAAUCCCUGCGCUGUCUUUAUUUCAUAUAUGGUCUGAUCCUGCCUCUCAAAUUUGAUUAAGAUAAUACAGAAAAUGUUCUGUCUUGGGUCAAGCUACAGAAAGUUAUCCAUGAUAUUUGCUUUCUGUGGUUGGCUGAGUCUCCCUUUUUACUAGGAUUUAACUUUAAUAUAAAUUUAGUAAUCUUUUCUGGGGAGCACUGACUGAUUGCUUGAUAAGAAAUCUGACUAGCAAUCCGGGAGUCAAAGCCCCUGAGAGGAAAUGUAUAUGUGUUAUCAGCCUGAGGGUGGAAGAACCCAUCUGUGUUACCUGAGCUGAGCUACAGAAAGCAGGUGAACUGCUAACCUGGAAAUGUCUCAUGUUUGUUUUUGAAAGGUAUUCACAUCAAAUGUACAUAGUUGGUAAAAGUUUCUACCUUAAUAGCCCUCCUUUCUCAUUCCUGGUUCUAAUUUUUUUCCACUGUGUGCUUAGACUGGAGGAGUUCAUAACAUUUUCAGACUAAAAGAUUCUUCUGCAUGUUCCUUACCGCCUCUUGGACACAGCAGAUCUGUAUCAAUACUGUUGAUCUGAAAUUGGUUAACAGUUUUCAUGCAUCAAAUUUACUAACCAGGCCUGACCUUUUAGUAGAAGUUUAAAGGGGCUAAAAAUAAAUGUUGGCACUAAAUUAUAAACAUUUAGUAUACAUGAGAAGAAUUUUUUUGUAACUUUUCAUGGAAGAGACAUAAUGCCAUUGCUGUGGAUGUGGCAGUAAAAUCUAAAAGCACCUGAAGGAAUGGUGUGAAAGAAUUUAGAAACUCCUGCAGUCAACUGUCAUCAGAGAUUUUUUUAAACAUUUUUUCAUGAGCAUGCUCAGAUACCUAUAUUGAUCCUGCUAGAACUAAGAAUUGAUGUAUUGGCAGUAACAAUGUAUAUUCUCACACAGUUUCAUUGAUUCCUUUUGCUGUUCUAUAUACACGGCUCCAAAGAUUGCUAUUCAUUGGUAUGUAACUCCAGUUGGAGAACACCAAGAGCUACUAGAAGAGUUUUGGUUGAUUUGAAGGUGGCAUCAAUAAACAAGUUCACAGGUUUAUCAGCCAUGUAUUUAUUCAUAAACUGAUAAAAGAUUUUUUUUAAAAUUGACCCUGAUAGAUUUAAGUUUUCAGAAUUAAACUUUCUUGUAAUUGUUCUUACUUGCUGCUACUUUUAAGAUCUAAAUUUUGAAAAAGAAAAAACAACUCUAUCUUUUUACAGGAUCAGAGACAGUUCUAAGUUUAUUUUCUGAAGGCAGAUUGAAAGCAUAAUGUUCUUUGUAUGUCCUUGAUCACAGAAUAUCAAUUUAUUUUUUCUUGUGCCUAGUUGCUAGGUAAAAUUAAAACUUUGCUUCCCUAAAGAACUAAAUUAUUACUUCUAGCAGCAUAAUGCAGCUGUAUUAAUUGUACCAUAUUAAAUUACAAAUUUGUUCAGGUUUGAGAACAGGUUAUGUUGCUUGCACUGCCCUGUGCUAAACAAUUAAGAGAUAGCUUGUUAGUGCUACGCAAGCUGGAAAGGGUAAACUUACACAUCCAUGCUGAAGCUCUGUAUUAGCUUAAGAACUAAUUCUAGUAUCUCUCAAGACCCAUGUACAAGUAUAGAGUAGAUCUUCCAAGACUACUGAAAAGCAGCAAGCAAAGCCUGAGAUACUGAUAGUACUAGUUCCUCAUCCUUGUGCUCUCGUCUGGAGUUUAUGCUGUAAAUGAGAACUCCUAGAUGCCUAGGUAUGCCACACUUUUUUUUUU